GGGGCCACAGCCCGGGCUGGGGGAUUCGGGUGCAGGAGGGCAGGCUGGGGUAGGGCGGGUAGAAGGGGGCCAGAAUCCGCGUGCCAGCAAGGGAUAGUAGACCAGGGAAUUGGGGCUGGGGUUCAGUGUCUGGCAAUGCCGCAGGGGGCGGGCUCUCAUGCCGUACGGGGCGGAGCCCUGGGGCUCGGGGCGGGACACGGAACGGCGGUGGGAGGGACCACGGGACUAGGGGGUGUAGAGAGCGGAGCCCAGCGGCCAGUGGAGAGGCUAGGACUGGGGAGCGGGGCCUGGCGUUUAGAGGAGGAGCCAGAGGAGGUGGAAGGUGGAGCCUUGGGUCCGGAGACGAAGGCCGUUGGCUACCAGGAGUUGGAAGCGGGUCUUCAGCCUGUGAGUGGCGUGCCACCUGUGCUGGAGAAAGGGCCGAGCACUGUCGAGGGCGGAGCUUCAGGUCAGGGGGCGGAGCCACACGAUCUGAAGGGCGGGGCCGACAAGCGUUGCGAAGAACUAAGCCCGAGUAAUGGCCCGGGUCUUCCACGUGGGGGCGGUCUCCGUGGUGGUCGCGCCUGGGGUCGUAGUAGACCCAGAACUCCCCCUGGAGAGAUUGUGUGGGUGGAGCGGGCUCGGCGCCCCGCUGACUCGGGCCCAGUCUGGGUUCCCCGGAGGCCCCCGAGAGCUCAGAGCUGGGGGGGUGCCCCUGGUGGUGGGGACACGGGGCCGGGAUGGGGUGUGCUUCCGGAGCACCGGGACUCCUCAGAGCCGCCUAGCGGAGAUGUGUGGGUGCCUCGGGGCCGGCCACCUGCAGCAGCCGCAGAGGUGUGGGUGUGCUGGACAGGAGGCAGCUGGGUGUGGCGGGAGUGGGGUCGCACGGUCGGGACUAGUCCGAUGCAACCAGAUAGGGUUUGGACUUUGCGUAAAGGGGCUGGCGGGAACUGAAUGGAGAUGGGGACCCGGAGGAAGGGAAGGUCUGGUAUUGAAUAAAGGGGCGGGGCCCUGGCUGCUGUGGCCUCCCCUGACCCCCUCCCUUCGCUGCUGGGGUCCUCCGCCAAGUCCCCUUCUCACUGGACUGGGAGGUGGGCUGUGCCUACAGAGACAUGAGGCUGAGCUGGGUCCUGACAAUACUGUCCAUUUGCCUGAGUGCCCUCAACACAGCCACGGGGGCCGAAGGCAAGCGGAAGCUGCAGAUUGGAGUGAAGAAACGCGUGGACCACUGUCCCAUCAAGUCUAGAAAGGGAGAUGUUUUACAUAUGCAUUACACGGAUGUGUGAAGGAGAAAAGCGGAAGCUAGUGAUCCCAUCUGAGCUGGGGUAUGGAGAGCGGGGAGCUCCCCCAAAGAUCCCAGGUGGAGCAACCCUGGUGUUUGAGGUGGAGCUGCUCAAGAUUGAGAGACGUUCAGAACUGUAGCAGGCUGCAGAGGGGUAGGAAGCCCCUGUCAGGGACCAGACUGCUUCCAAACAAAACAAAAAAAACCUUUAAAACCCCAA